UACAGAGGUCCCAAGCGUUGUUCGGAUUCACUGGGCGUAAAGGGUGCGUAGGUGGUGAGGUAAGUCGGAUGUGAAAUCUCCGAGCUCAACUCGGAAAUGGCAUUGGAAACUACCUUGCUCGAGGGUUGGAGGGGGGACUGGAAUGUUUGGUGUAGCAGUGAAAUGCGUAGAUAUCAAGCGGAACACCAGUGGCGAAGGCGAGUCCCUGGACAACUCCUGACACUGAGGCACGAAAGCUAGGGGAGCAAACAGG
rnacentral:rRNA from 1 species